GGCCUUGUAUUCAUUUUGUGAUUACAGAAUGCAAUUCUGUAGGGGUAGGUAUUUAACUAUCAAGGCCU
rnacentral:tRNA from 2 species